rnacentral:rRNA from 1 species
UAGCCGUAAACGAUACUCGCUAGGUGUCGGCCACGGUGCGACCGUUGUCGGUGCCGUAGGGAAGCCGUGAAGCGAGCCACCUGGGAAGUACGGCCGCAAGGCUGAAACUUAAAGGAAUUGGCGGGGGAGCACAACAACGGGUGGAGCUUGCGGUUUAAUUGGAUUCAACGCCGGAAAUCUUACCGGGACCGACAGCAACAUGAAGGCCAAGCUGAAGACUUUGCCGGAUUAGCUGAGAGGAGGUGCAUGGCGUAAGUCGUGU